CGGUUUGAUCCUUUCAUGCUCCAUUCUGUUAUAAAGAUCAAUUGCUUUCUCAAAAUUCCCAUGUCUUCCAUAUCCUGCAAUCAAAGAGGUCCAUGAUCUCACAUCUUUCUCUUUCAUCUCUUCGAAAGCCAGGACUGCAUCCUCGAUUUCCCCAGACUUUGCAUACAUAUCUAUCAGCGAAUUCCCCAAAGCAACAUCGAAUCUGAUUUGGGAAGAUUUUAAGGCAAAACCAUGGAUCUGUCUUCCAAUGGUUACAGAUGCAAUGGUGGUGCAUAUUUUAAGCAUCGAGGAUACUACAACUUCGUCCAUCUUUGUUUUCAUCCGUAUCAUAUCUUUGAAGAUAUCAAAGGCAUCACUUGUGCAGUUGUUCUGCUGUGAAAAACCUG